UAAAUAUCAAAUGAGAAAGUCCAAGAAAUCUCUUAAAAGAAUUAAAAACACAACAAGAAAUUGGUCAUCAUCCUACAAAUCUGUAGAAAUCUUUUUAGAUGUUUAUGAACAUAUUUUAGCAUCAUUAGUUGAAUUAAAAGAUUCUAAUGACCCAAGCACCUCUUCCAUUGCCGAUGGAAAUAUUGAAAUGUACACAUGAGGCUUGUAUUGAAAUGCAGGCAGUUGGUAAUGAUUUGGCUUUGGUAACCAAAUUAAUACAACAUACAAAAAAUAAAUUACAAAAACUAAAAG